AAAAUGCCAGGAAGCCAAUCAGAAAAUCCAGGAACUCCAGGCCAGCCAAGAAGCAAGAGCAGACCACGAGCAGCAGAUUAAGGAUCUGGAGCAGAAGCUGUCCCUGCAAGAGCAGGAUGCAGCAAUUGUGAAGAACAUGAAGUCUGAGCUGGUGCGGCUCCCUAGGCUGGAACGGGAGCUGAAGCAGCUGCGGGAGGAGAGCGCGCGCCUGCGGGAGAUGAGAGAGACCAACGGGCUGCUCCAGGAAGAGCUGGAAGGGCUGCAGAGGAAGCUGGGGCGCCAGGAGAAGAUGCAGGAGACGCUGGUUGGCUUGGAGCUGGAGAACGAGAGGCUGCUGGCCAAGCUGCAAAGCUGGGAGAGACUGGACCAGACCACGGGCCUGAGCAUCAG
rnacentral:sRNA from 1 species